AAUUGAUGAACUUGUAUAAGUAUGUAUUUUGAAAAUACAAAAAAGAGUAAAUUCUCUAUCAAUUU
rnacentral:tRNA from 1 species